rnacentral:rRNA from 1 species
UAGCUGAGGAAAAGAAACCAACAGGGAUUGCCCCAGUAACGGCGAGUGAAGCGGCAACAGCUCAAAUUUGAAAUCUGGCCCCCCGGCCCGAGUUGUAAUUUGGAGAGGAUGCUUCUGGCGCGGCGCCGUCCGAGUUCCUUGGAACAGGACGCCACAGAGGGUGAGAGCCCCGUACGGACGGACGCCUAGCCUCUACGAAGCUCCUUCGACGAGUCGAGUAGUUUGGGAAUGCUGCUCAAAAUGGGAGGUAAAUUUCUUCUAAAGCUAAAUACCGGCCAGAGACCGAUAGCGCACAAGUAGAGUGAUCGAAAGAUGAAAAGCACUUUGAAAAGAGGGUUAAAAAGUACGUGAAAUUGUUGAAAGGGAAGCGCCUGUGACCAGACUUGCGCCCCGCGGACCACCCGGCGUUCUCGCCGGUGCACUCUGCGGUGCGCAGGCCAGCAUCGGUUCUCCCAGGGGGACAAAGGCCGCGGGAACGUAGCUCCUUCGGGAGUGUUAUAGCCCGCGGCGGCAUGCCCCUGGGGGGACCGAGGACCGCGCUUCGGCAAGGAUGCUGGCGUAAUGGUCACCAGCGACCCGUCUUGAA